GCUUCCUGUGAAUGAGAGGCUAUUUGGCACUGCACGCCUGUGCUGAAUAAUUUCAGAAAGUGUUGAAGUUUGAUCGAAGAAGGCAUUAAAAUGAUAGUAAUUAGUACCAGGCCCUUUGCUUGAAAUGCUGAGCUCCAGGAAAUUACAAGGCUGCAUGUGCUGAACUUAUACCACAGGCUGCUUCCAAGGUUAAGGCUUGGUUCCAGGGAUGUGAUGGAGCCUUGUCCAAACGGACACUGAAGAGCAGAUUGUUCAAUUUUCAUAUUUUCCUGGCUCCUCGUCUUGCUCAGAAAACAACGAUAAUUCACACAAUCACCCACAAAGCCAAGGGCUUUGAGACCCUUAGAGAAUCUGAAACUAAGAGGAUAUUAGAGCUGGAGGAAACCUGGGAGAUAAUCGAGUCCAAUCACCUCAUUUUAGAGAAAAACGCACAUAGUAAAUGACUAAGAAAUACCUUUUUCAUCCAUUCACCAAAGAUAGCCUUAAAAAUUAACCCUGGAGACAGUAUUUCUCAACCAAAAAAAUCAUAUGGCAAGCUAAAAAUUGCUUUUUAGCUUGCCCUUUUUUUCCCAAAAGUUUUAUAU